CCUAGUGGCGGACGGGUGAGUAACACGUGAGCAACCUGCCCUUCGGAGGGGGAUAACGUUUGGAAACGAACGCUAAUACCGCAUAAAGUAAGCAAGAAGCAUUUCUGGCUUACCAAAGGAGAAAUCCGCCGAAGGAUGGGCUCGCGGCCGAUUAGGUAGUUGGUGUAGGUAACGGCUCACCAAGCCGACGAUCGGUAGCCGGACUGAGAGGUUGAUCGGCCACAUUGGGACUGAGACACGGCCCAGACUCCUACGGAAGGCAGCAG
rnacentral:rRNA from 1 species